UCGGGAAUUUUGGGCAAUGGGGGCAACCCUGAUCCAGCCAUGCCGCGUGAGUGAAGAAGGCCUUCGGGUUGUAAAGCUCUUUCGGCGGGGACGAAACGGUCCGUGACAACACCACGGACUAAUGACAGUACUCGCAGAAGAAGCACCGGCUAACUACGUGCCAGCAGCCGCGGUAAUACGUAGGGUGCAGGCGUUAAUCGGAAUUACUGGGCGUAAAGCGUGCGCAGGCGGCUCCUUAAGUUAGAUGUGAAAUCCCCGGGCUUAACCUGGGAACUGCGUUUGAAACUGAGGGGCUAGAGUGUGGAAGAGGGGGGUGGAAUUCCAGGUGUAGCAGUGAAAUGCGUAGAGAUCUGGAGGAACACCGAUGGCGAAGGCAGCCCCCUGGGCUAACACUGACGCUCAUGCACGAAAGCGUGGGGAGCAAACAGGAUUAGAUACCCGGGUAGUCCCUGAGCGGGCUGGCAAGGCG
rnacentral:rRNA from 1 species